GAUGAACGCUGGCGGCGUGCCUAAUACAUGCAAGUCGAGCGAACGGACGAGAAGCUUGCUUCUCUGAUGUUAGCGGCGGACGGGUGAGUAACACGUGGAUAACCUACCUAUAAGACUGGGAUAACUUCGGGAAACCGGAGCUAAUACCGGAUGAUAUUUUGAACCGCAUGGUUCAAAAGUGAAAGACGGUCUUGCUGCCACUUAUAGAUGGAUCCGCGCUGCAUUAGCUAGUUGGUAAGGUGACGGCUUACCAAGGCAACGAUGCAUAGCCGACCUGAGAGGGUGAUCGGCCACACUGGAACUGAGACACGGUCCAGACUCCUACGGGAGGCAGCAGUAGGGAAUCUUCCGCAAUGGGCGAAAGCCUGACGGAGCAACGCCGCGUGAGUGAUGAAGGUCUUCGGAUCGUAAAACUCUGUUAUUAGGGAAGAACAUAUGUGUAAGUAACUGUGCACAUCUUGACGGUACCUAAUCAGAAAGCCACGGCUAACUACGUG
rnacentral:rRNA from 1 species